AUUUAUCUAGUAUAAUUAGUACAACUGACUUCCAAUUAGCAAGAUUGAUUAAAAUCAAGAUAAAUA
rnacentral:tRNA from 1 species